rnacentral:misc_RNA from 1 species
CAACCCCUCAGCUAACGCUGGUUUUGAACCCGAACGGUUGAUGCCGCGCCGGUUUUAAAGUUGUAAGCUCUGCUGGCCGCUCCGCCCCAACCAGAACAUAGUAAGCACUACUUUUGUUAGGGUGAAGCCGAACGGUAUGGCCUGAACAAAACCUACCCUUUUUCUCAAG